GCUUGCUUCUAUUUGGUUAGCGGCGGACGGGUGAGUAACACGUGGGCAACCUGCCCUGUAGACGGGGAUAACACCGAGAAAUCGGUGCUAAUACCGGAUAAUACGGAAUGUCGCAUGACGUUUCGUUGAAAGGCGGCGCAAGCUGUCGCUACAGGAUGGGCCCGCGGCGCAUUAGCUAGUUGGUGAGGUAACGGCUCACCAAGGCGACGAUGCGUAGCCGACCUGAGAGGGUGAUCGGCCACACUGGGACUGAGACACGGCCCAGACUCCUACGGGAGGCAGCAGUAGGGAAUCUUCCGCAAUGGACGAAAGUCUGACGGAGCAACGCCGCGUGAGCGAAGAAGGCCUUCGGGUCGUAAAGCUCUGUUGUUAGGGAAGAACAAGUAGCGCAGUAACUGGCGUUACUUUGACGGUACCUAACGAGGAAGCCACGGCUAACUACGUGCCAGCAGCCGCGGUAAUACGUAGGUGGCAAGCGUUGUCCGGAAUUAUUGGGCGUAAAGCGCGCGCAGGCGGUUCCUUAAGUCUGAUGUGAAAGCCCACGGCUCAACCGUGGAGGGUCAUUGGAAACUGGGGGACUUGAGUGCAAAAGAAGAGAGCGGAAUUCCACGUGUAGC
rnacentral:rRNA from 1 species